AUGGCCAUUGCACACAAUUCCUUUCUUGGGURAGGGGAACUGCCCUCCUAGCAGAGGAGGAGGAAAGUCUGUCAUGCACUGUCAUGUCCAAAGCAGUCAUGUCAUGUCACUGCAUGAAAAACAGAUGGCCAARGACAGAGUCAUGGGUCACCCUCAUGGAAAACAGGAGGAGCUAUGUUAAAGUGAGGGACUGGGAAUGCUUAGAGCACCUUUGGAGAGGGUCUGAUGUGGCUGGUGUUUUGGAGCAACCCUYUUUUGCUUGGAUCCACAACCUGCAGUGUCCUUGUUCCCCACCCCUCUGUGAUGGGAGCUGUGGAAGCACCACAGCUCCUCUCAUGUCAGGAAAAGGAAAGCACCAGGAAAACACCCAAACCAACAAACCAGUGGGAGAUCUGCCUUUUCAGAGUGUUGUGGAGUGUUUGGAAAAGAAACUCAGGAAGACAAGCAAUGUGGUUUGUGGCUGUGGUGGAGYUGGUCCCCAAGCAAGGGAAGUUGUCCCCACUAAGGAGCCAGAAAAAGUCCCCCAGAAACUCCCUCCGGAUGAAUUAAUUGAGGAUUUGAUUCCCAGCCAGCAGGAAGUUUGCGAAGUGAGGCAUCUGUCAGAGUCUCCACUAAGAGAUGGAUCUUCUAUGACCAUAAUUUUCCACAUCUGAGGCACUACAAAUUUAAAUAGAAAAGGGGAACAAUGUGGCUGCCGAAGUUUCAGGACAGAUGCACCAAAUUCAGCUGAUGAAUAGUGCCCUGAUAGCAUCAGCUCUCCAGGCUGCCUUCAGGUUGAGGACAAAGGGAGAAAAACAAAGAGCUUUUAAGGCCAAUCGUGUUCCUUUUAUUUGCCAUAUUCAGCUGGGCAAUUCUCUGUGAGACACUCAUCGGCAACAAAKCCAUCCUGCUUUCCAAUCUCCUGUAAUGCAGUUUCCCAGAAAAGAGGCAGAGGCAACAUCCUUCCCUCAGGUGAACUUUUGCAAGAGAGGGAAGAGGAUGGYUCGGCUCUCUGGGCUUUCCAGGCUCUCCCAGUCCCCCUCUGAGAAGCUGCAAGGAYUUAUUUACACACUGAAUGGAUCUUUUGACAUUUACCAUUCUGUAUCCAUUCCCAAGCAGGCAGGAAGGAUUUCUUCUCAGGAAGGAUUUCCUCAUGGAAAGGGUUGUCAGGCAUGAUGGGGUCCCCAUCCCUGGAGGUGUCCAAGGAAUGACUGGACAUGGCUCUCAKKGCUCUGGGCUGGAUGACAAAAUAAUGCUGCCAGCCAUGGAUGUCACCAGCAUGUCCAUCACCUUCCCUCCUGACUUCAGAGCAAGCAGGCACAACUCCAGGUAUGUGACRUUCUGUGCUUUUGUCCCUCAUAUCUGGUUUUUGUUUUAAACUGGUGCAAACCCRGAAAAGUGCCACGUUUCAGUCACACAAAGCAGGGGAGAGACACAGGCAAUCCAAGUCACUCAGGAGCUGAGUUCCUGAGGCAGAU